ACUUACUGACAAAGUAUAUGGCUCACAUAAAUAUGGAAUGAUGCAAUCAAUCCAGAUCCAUAAAAUAUCUUUUCAAGUAUGUGAAUAAAGGUCAUGAUAGAGUCACUGUAGCCUUUUAUGAUGGUACAGAGAAUUCAGGAUCUGAAUAAUGCAGCGAUGAAAUCAAAAUAUUCUAUGAUUGUAGGUACUUAUCUCCAUGCG
rnacentral:lncRNA from 1 species